rnacentral:rRNA from 1 species
UACGUAGGGGGCAAGCGUUGUCCGGAAUCAUUGGGCGUAAAGCGCGCGUAGGCGGCCCUGUAAGUCCGUUGUGAAAGUCAAAGGCUCAACCUUUGAAAGCCGAUGGAUACUGCAGGGCUAGAGUCCGGAAGAGGCGAGUGGAAUUCCUGGUGUAGCGGUGGAAUGCGCAGAUAUCAGGAGGAACACCAAUAGCGAAGGCAGCUUGCUGGGACGGUACUGACGCUAAGGCGCGAAAGCGUGGGGAGCGAACAGG